AAGAAAUGGUCUCCACCAGAAAUCCAAGAAUGUGAUCUAUGGCAAGGAAACAUAUGUGGGGUGAGGUGUAUGAGCCUCUGGUCGAUGAUCAAUGGCCACACAACCCCCAUUUUUGCCGAAAAUAGCCAUGAACGACCAUUUUCAAUAAUACCGAAGGCUAACACCUACGGAUUUUUGACCAAGAAAUGGUCUCCACCAGAAAUCCAAGAAUGUGAUCUAUGGCAAGGAAACAUAUGUGGGGUGAGGUGUAUGAGCCUCUGGUCGAUGAUCAAUGGCCACACAACCCCAUUUUUGUCGAAAAUAGCCAUGAACGACCAUUUUCAAUAAUACCGAAGGCUAACACUACGGAUUUUUGACCAAGAAAUGGUCUCCACCAGAAAUCCAAGAAUGUGAUCUAUGGCAAGGAAACAUAUGUGGGGUGAGGUGUAUGAGCCUCUGGUCGAUGAUCAAUGGCCACACAACCCCCAUUUUUGUCGAAAAUAGCCAUGAACGACCAUUUUCAAUAAUACGAAGGCUAACACCUACGGAUUUUUGACCAAGAAAUGGUCUCCACCAGAAAUCCAAGAAUGUGAUCUAUGGCAAGGAAACAUAUGUGGGGUGAGGUGUAUGAGCCUCUGGUCGAUGAUCAAUGGCCACACAACCCCCAUUUUUGUCGAAAAUAGCCAUGAACGACCAUUUUCAAUAAUACGAAGGCUAACACUACGGAUUUUUGACCAAGAAAUGGUCUCCACCAGAAAUCCAAGAAUGUGAUCUAUGGCAAGGAAACAUAUGUGGGGUGAGGUUAUGAGCCUCUGUCGAUGAUCAAUGGCCACACAACCCCAUUUUUGUCGAAAAUAGCCAUGAACGACCAUUUUCAAUAAUACAAGGCUAACACCUACGGAUUUUUGACCAAGAAAUGGUCUCCACCAGAAAUCCAAGAAUGUGAUCUAUGGCAAGGAAACAUAUGUGGGGUGAGGUGUAUGAGCCUCUGGUCGAUGAUCAAUGGCCACACAACCCCCAUUUUUGUCGAAAAUAGCCAUGAACGACCAUUUUCAAUAAUACCGAAGGCUAACACCUACGGAUUUUUGACCAAGAAAUGGUCUCCACCAGAAAUCCAAGAAUGUGAUCUAUGGCAAGGAAACAUAUGUGGGGUGAGGUGUAUGAGCCUCUGGUCGAUGAUCAAUGGCCACACAACCCCCAUUUUUGUCGAAAAUAGCCAUGAACGACCAUUUUCAAUAAUACCGAAGGCUAACACCUACGGAUUUUUGACCAAGAAAUGGUCUCCACCAGAAAUCCAAGAAUGUGAUCUAUGGCAAGGAAACAUAUGUGGGGUGAGGUGUAUGAGCCUCUGGUCGAUGAUCAAUGGCCACACAACCCCCAUUUUUGUCGAAAAUAGCCAUGAACGACCAUUUUCAAUAAUACCGAAGGCUAACACUACGAUUUUUGACCAAGAAAUGGUCUCCACCAGAAAUCCAAGAAUGUGAUCUAUGGCAAGGAAACAUAUGUGGGGUGAGGUGUAUGAGCCUCUGGUCGAUGAUCAAUGGCCACACAACCCCCAUUUUUGUCGAAAAUAGCCAUGAACGACCAUUUUCAAUAAUACGAAGGCUAACACCUACGGAUUUUUGACCAAGAAAUGGUCUCCACCAGAAAUCCAAGAAUGUGAUCUAUGGCAAGGAAACAUAUGUGGGGUGAGGUGUAUGAGCCUCUGGUCGAUGAUCAAUGGCCACACAACCCCCAUUUUUGUCGAAAAUAGCCAUGAACGACCAUUUUCAAUAAUACCGAAGGCUAACACCUACGGAUUUUUGACCAAGAAAUGGUCUCCACCAGAAAUCCAAGAAUGUGAUCUAUGGCAAGGAAACAUAUGUGGGGUGAGGUGUAUGAGCCUCUGGUCGAUGAUCAAUGGCCACACAACCCCCAUUUUUGUCGAAAAUAGCCAUGAACGACCAUUUUCAAUAAUACCGAAGGCUAACACCUACGGAUUUUUGACCAAGAAAUGGUCUCCACCAGAAAUCCAAGAAUGUGAUCUAUGGCAAGGAAACAUAUGUGGGGUGAGGUGUAUGAGCCUCUGGUCGAUGAUCAAUGGCCACACAACCCCCAUUUUUGUCGAAAAUAGCCAUGAACGACCAUUUUCAAUAAUACCGAAGGCUAACACCUACGGAUUUUUGACCAAGAAAUGGUCUCCACCAGAAAUCCAAGAAUGUGAUCUAUGGCAAGGAAACAUAUGUGGGGUGAGGUGUAUGAGCCUCUGGUCGAUGAUCAAUGGCCACACAACCCCCAUUUUUGUCGAAAAUAGCCAUGAACGACCAUUUUCAAUAAUACGAAGGCUAACACCUACGGAUUUUUGACCAAGAAAUGGUCUCCACCAGAAAUCCAAGAAUGUGAUCUAUGGCAAGGAAACAUAUGUGGGGUGAGGUGUAUGAGCCUCUGGUCGAUGAUCAAUGGCCACACAACCCCCAUUUUUGUCGAAAAUAGCCAUGAACGACCAUUUUCAAUAAUACCGAAGGCUAACACCUACGGAUUUUUGACCAAGAAAUGGUCUCCACCAGAAAUCCAAGAAUGUGAUCUAUGGCAAGGAAACAUAUGUGGGGUGAGGUGUAUGAGCCUCUGGUCGAUGAUCAAUGGCCACACAACCCCCAUUUUUGUCGAAAAUAGCCAUGAACGACCAUUUUCAAUAAUACGAAGGCUAACACCUACGGAUUUUUGACCAAGAAAUGGUCUCCACCAGAAAUCCAAGAAUGUGAUCUAUGGCAAGGAAACAUAUGUGGGGUGAGGUGUAUGAGCCUCUGGUCGAUGAUCAAUGGCCACACAACCCCCAUUUUUGUCGAAAAUAGCCAUGAACGACCAUUUUCAAUAAUACGAAGGCUAACACCUACGGAUUUUUGACCAAGAAAUGGUCUCCACCAGAAAUCCAAGAAUGUGAUCUAUGGCAAGGAAACAUAUGUGGGGUGAGGUGUAUGAGCCUCUGGUCGAUGAUCAAUGGCCACACAACCCCCAUUUUUGUCGAAAAUAGCCAUGAACGACCAUUUUCAAUAAUACCGAAGGCUAACACCUACGGAUUUUUGACCAAGAAAUGGUCUCCACCAGAAAUCCAAGAAUGUGAUCUAUGGCAAGGAAACAUAUGUGGGGUGAGGUGUAUGAGCCUCUGGUCGAUGAUCAAUGGCCACACAACCCCCAUUUUUGUCGAAAAUAGCCAUGAACGACCAUUUUCAAUAAUACCGAAGGCUAACACCUACGGAUUUUUGACCAAGAAAUGGUCUCCACCAGAAAUCCAAGAAUGUGAUCUAUGGCAAGGAAACAUAUGUGGGGUGAGGUGUAUGAGCCUCUGGUCGAUGAUCAAUGGCCACACAACCCCCAUUUUUGUCGAAAAUAGCCAUGAACGACCAUUUUCAAUAAUACCGAAGGCUAACACCUACGGAUUUUUGACCAAGAAAUGGUCUCCACCAGAAAUCCAAGAAUGUGAUCUAUGGCAAGGAAACAUAUGUGGGGUGAGGUGUAUGAGCCUCUGGUCGAUGAUCAAUGGCCACACAACCCCCAUUUUUGUCGAAAAUAGCCAUGAACGACCAUUUUCAAUAAUACGAAGGCUAACACCUACGGAUUUUUGACCAAGAAAUGGUCUCCACCAGAAAUCCAAGAAUGUGAUCUAUGGCAAGGAAACAUAUGUGGGGUGAGGUGUAUGAGCCUCUGGUCGAUGAUCAAUGGCCACACAACCCCCAUUUUUGUCGAAAAUAGCCAUGAACGACCAUUUUCAAUAAUACCGAAGGCUAACACCUACGGAUUUUUGACCAAGAAAUGGUCUCCACCAGAAAUCCAAGAAUGUGAUCUAUGGCAAGGAAACAUAUGUGGGGUGAGGUGUAUGAGCCUCUGGUCGAUGAUCAAUGGCCACACAACCCCCAUUUUUGUCGAAAAUAGCCAUGAACGACCAUUUUCAAUAAUACGAAGGCUAACACCUACGGAUUUUUGACCAAGAAAUGGUCUCCACCAGAAAUCCAAGAAUGUGAUCUAUGGCAAGGAAACAUAUGUGGGGUGAGGUGUAUGAGCCUCUGGUCGAUGAUCAAUGGCCACACAACCCCCAUUUUUGUCGAAAAUAGCCAUGAACGACCAUUUUCAAUAAUACGAAGGCUAACACCUACGGAUUUUUGACCAAGAAAUGGUCUCCACCAGAAAUCCAAGAAUGUGAUCUAUGGCAAGGAAACAUAUGUGGGGUGAGGUGUAUGAGCCUCUGGUCGAUGAUCAAUGGCCACACAACCCCAUUUUUGUCGAAAAUAGCCAUGAACGACCAUUUUCAAUAAUACGAAGGCUAACACCUACGGAUUUUUGACCAAGAAAUGGUCUCCACCAGAAAUCCAAGAAUGUGAUCUAUGGCAAGGAAACAUAUGUGGGGUGAGGUGUAUGAGCCUCUGGUCGAUGAUCAAUGGCCACACAACCCCCAUUUUUGUCGAAAAUAGCCAUGAACGACCAUUUUCAAUAAUACCGAAGGCUAACACCUACGGAUUUUUGACCAAGAAAUGGUCUCCACCAGAAAUCCAAGAAUGUGAUCUAUGGCAAGGAAACAUAUGUGGGGUGAGGUGUAUGAGCCUCUGGUCGAUGAUCAAUGGCCACACAACCCCCAUUUUUGUCGAAAAUAGCCAUGAACGACCAUUUUCAAUAAUACGAAGGCUAACACCUACGGAUUUUUGACCAAGAAAUGGUCUCCACCAGAAAUCCAAGAAUGUGAUCUAUGGCAAGGAAACAUAUGUGGGGUGAGGUGUAUGAGCCUCUGGUCGAUGAUCAAUGGCCACACAACCCCCAUUUUUGUCGAAAAUAGCCAUGAACGACCAUUUUCAAUAAUACGAAGGCUAACACCUACGGAUUUUUGACCAAGAAAUGGUCUCCACCAGAAAUCCAAGAAUGUGAUCUAUGGCAAGGAAACAUAUGUGGGGUGAGGUGUAUGAGCCUCUGGUCGAUGAUCAAUGGCCACACAACCCCCAUUUUUGUCGAAAAUAGCCAUGAACGACCAUUUUCAAUAAUACCGAAGGCUAACACCUACGGAUUUUUGACCAAGAAAUGGUCUCCACCAGAAAUCCAAGAAUGUGAUCUAUGGCAAGGAAACAUAUGUGGGGUGAGGUGUAUGAGCCUCUGGUCGAUGAUCAAUGGCCACACAACCCCCAUUUUUGUCGAAAAUAGCCAUGAACGACCAUUUUCAAUAAUACGAAGGCUAACACCUACGGAUUUUUGACCAAGAAAUGGUCUCCACCAGAAAUCCAAGAAUGUGAUCUAUGGCAAGGAAACAUAUGUGGGGUGAGGUGUAUGAGCCUCUGGUCGAUGAUCAAUGGCCACACAACCCCCAUUUUUGUCGAAAAUAGCCAUGAACGACCAUUUUCAAUAAUACCGAAGGCUAACACCUACGGAUUUUUGACCAAGAAAUGGUCUCCACCAGAAAUCCAAGAAUGUGAUCUAUGGCAAGGAAACAUAUGUGGGGUGAGGUGUAUGAGCCUCUGGUCGAUGAUCAAUGGCCACACAACCCCCAUUUUUGUCGAAAAUAGCCAUGAACGACCAUUUUCAAUAAUACGAAGGCUAACACUACGGAUUUUUGACCAAGAAAUGGUCUCCACCAGAAAUCCAAGAAUGUGAUCUAUGGCAAGGAAACAUAUGUGGGGUGAGGUGUAUGAGCCUCUGGUCGAUGAUCAAUGGCCACACAACCCCCAUUUUUGUCGAAAAUAGCCAUGAAUGACCAUUUUCAAUAAUACCGAAGGCUAACACCUACGGAUUUUUGACCAAGAAAUGGUCUCCACCAGAAAUCCAAGAAUGUGAUCUAUGGCAAGGAAACAUAUGUGGGGUGAGGUGUAUGAGCCUCUGGUCGAUGAUCAAUGGCCACACAACCCCCAUUUUUGUCGAAAAUAGCCAUGAACGACCAUUUUCAAUAAUACGAAGGCUAACACCUACGGAUUUUUGACCAAGAAAUGGUCUCCACCAGAAAUCCAAGAAUGUGAUCUAUGGCAAGGAAACAUAUGUGGGGUGAGGUGUAUGAGCCUCUGGUCGAUGAUCAAUGGCCACACAACCCCCAUUUUUGUCGAAAAUAGCCAUGAACGACCAUUUUCAAUAAUACCGAAGGCUAACACCUACGGAUUUUUGACCAAGAAAUGGUCUCCACCAGAAAUCCAAGAAUGUGAUCUAUGGCAAGGAAACAUAUGUGGGGUGAGGUGUAUGAGCCUCUGGUCGAUGAUCAAUGGCCACACAACCCCCAUUUUGUCGAAAAUAGCCAUGAACGACCAUUUUCAAUAAUACGAAGGCUAACACCUACGGAUUUUUGACCAAGAAAUGGUCUCCACCAGAAAUCCAAGAAUGUGAUCUAUGGCAAGGAAACAUAUGUGGGGUGAGGUGUAUGAGCCUCUGGUCGAUGAUCAAUGGCCACACAACCCCCAUUUUUGUCGAAAAUAGCCAUGAAUGACCAUUUUCAAUAAUACCGAAGGCUAACACCUACGGAUUUUUGACCAAGAAAUGGUCUCCACCAGAAAUCCAAGAAUGUGAUCUAUGGCAAGGAAACAUAUGUGGGGUGAGGUGUAUGAGCCUCUGGUCGAUGAUCAAUGGCCACACAACCCCCAUUUUUGUCGAAAAUAGCCAUGAACGACCAUUUUCAAUAAUACCGAAGGCUAACACCUACGGAUUUUUGACCAAGAAAUGGUCUCCACCAGAAAUCCAAGAAUGUGAUCUAUGGCAAGGAAACAUAUGUGGGUGAGGUGUAUGAGCCUCUGUCGAUGAUAAAUGGCCACACAACCCCCAUUUUUUGUCGAGAAAUAGCCAUGAACGACCAUUUUCAAUAAUACAGAGGCUAACACCUACGGAUUUUUGACCAAGAAAUGGUCUCCACCAGAAAUCCAAGAAUGUGAUCUAUGGCAAGGAAACAUAUGUGGGGUGAGGUGUAUGAGCCUCUGGUCGAUGAUCAAUGGCCACACAACCCCAUUUUGCCGAAAAUAGCCAUGAAUGACCAUUUUCAAUAAUACGAAGGCUAACACUACGAUUUUUAACCAAGAAAUGGUUUCCACCAGAAAUCCAAGAAUGUAAUCUAUGGCAAGGAAACAUAUGUGGGGUGAGGUUAUGAGCCUCUAGUCGAUGAUAAAUGGCCACACAACCCCCAUUUUUCGAAAAUAGCCAUAUGAAAAUCGACCAUUUUCAAUAAUACGAGGCUAACACGUACGAGUUUUAACCAAGAAAUGGUCUCCACCAGAAAUCCAAGAAUGUGAUCUAUGGCAAGGAAACAUAUGUGGGUGAGGUGUAUGAGCCUCUGGUCGAUGAUCAAUGGCCACACAACCCCCAUUUUUGUCGAAAAUAGCCAUGAACGACCAUUUCAAAAAUACCGAAGGCUAACACCUACGGAUUUUUGACCAAGAAAUGGUCUCCACCAGAAAUCCAAGGAAUGUGAUCUAUGGCAAGGAAACAUAUGUGGGGUGAGGUGUAUGAGCGUCUGGUCGAUGAUCAAUGGCCACACAACCCCCAUUUUUGUCGAAAAUAGCCAUGAACGACCAUUUUCAAUAAUACCGAAGGCUAACACCUACGGAUUUUUGACCAAGAAAUGGUCUCCACCAGAAAUCCAAGAAUGUGAUCUAUGGCAAGGAAACAUAUGUGGGGUGAGGUGUAUGAGCCUCUGGUCGAUGAUCAAUGGCCACACAACCCCCAUUUUGUCGAAAAUAGCCAUGAACGACCAUUUUCAAUAAUACCGAAGGCUAACACGUACGGAUUUUUAACAAGAAAUGGUCUCCACCAGAAAUCCAAGAAUGUGAUCUAUGGCAAGGAAACAUAUGUGGUGAGGUGUAUGAGCCUCUGGUCGAUGAUCAAUUGCCACAAACAUUUAGCCUCCCAUUUUUCGAAAAUAGGCCAUGAUAUGACCAUUCACAAAAUGUUGAUGAUCUAUCGGCAAGGAAACAUAUGUGGGUGAUGUAUGAGCGUCUGGUCGAUGAUCAAUGGCCACACAACCCCAUUUUUUCGAAAAUAGCCAUAAGACCAUUGAAAUGGUCUCAUGGCUAUUUUAAAAAAUGGGGUUGUGGCCAUUGAUCAUCGACAGAGGCUCAUACACUCACCCCACAUAUGUUUCUUGCCAUAGAUCACAUUCUUGGAUUUCUGUGGAGACCAUUUCUUGGUCAAAAAUCCGUAGGUGUUAGCCUUCGGUAUUAUUGAAAAUGGUCUUCAUGGCUAUUUUCGCAAAAUGGGGGUUGUGUGGCCAUUGAUCAUCGACAGAGGCUCAUAAACUCACCCCACAUAUGUUUCCUUGCCAUAGAUCACAUUCUUGGAUUUCUGGUGGAGACCAUUUCUUGGUUAAAAAUCCGUACGUGUUAGCCUUUGGUAUUUUUGAAAAUGGUCAUUCAUGGCUAUUUUCGGCAAAAAUGGGGGUUGUGUGGCCAUUGAUCGUCGACCAGAGGCUCAUACACCUCACCCCACAUAUGUUUCCUUGCCAUAGAUCACAUUCUUGGAUUUCUGGUGGAGACCAUUUCUUGGUCAAAAAUCCGUAGGUGUUAGCCUUCGGUAUUAUUGUAAAUGGUCAUUCAUGGCUAUUUUCGACAAAAAUGGGGGUUGUGUGGCCAUUGAUCAUCGACCAGAGGCUCAUACACCUCACCCCACAUAUGUUUCCUUGCCAUAGAUCACAUUCUUGGAUUUCUGGUGGAGACCAUUUCUUGGUCAAAAAUCCGUACGUGUUAGCCUUUGGUAUUUUUGAAAAUGGUCGUUCAUGGCUUGGUCGAUGAUCAAUGGCCACACAACCCCCAUUUUUUAUGAAAAUAGCCAUGAGCGACCAUUUUCAAUAAUACUAGAGGCUAAGACCUACGGAUUUUUGACCAAGAAAUGGUCUCCACCAGAAAUCCAAGAAUGUGAUCUAUGGCAAGGAAACAUAUGUGGGGUGAGGUGUAUGAGCCUCUGGUCGAUGAUCAAUGGCCACACAACCCCCAUUUUUGUCGAAAAUAGCCAUGAACGACCAUUUUCAAUGACACUGAAGGCUAACACCUACGGAUUUUUGACCAAGAAAUGGUCUCCACCAUAAAUCCAAGAAUGUGAUCUAUGGCAAGGAAACAUAUGUGUAGUGAGGUGUAUGAGCCUCUGGUCGAAGAUUAAUGGCCACACAACCCCCAUUUUUGUCGAAAAUAGCCAUGAAUGACCAUUUUCAAAAAUACCAAAGGCUAACACAUUCGGAUUUUUGCCCAAGAAAUGGUCUCCACCAGAAAUCCAAGAAUGUGAUCUAUGGAAAGGAAACAUAUGUGGGGUGAGGUGUAUGAGCCUCUGGUCGACGAUCAAUGGCCACACAACCCCCAUUUUUGUCGAAAAUAGCCAUGAACGACCAUUUUCAAUAAUACCGAAGGCUAACACCUACGGAUUUUUGACCAAGAAAUGGUCUCCACCAGAAAUCCAAGAAUGUGAUCUAUGGCAAGGAAACAUAUGUGGGGUGAGGUGUAUGAGCGUCUGGUCGAUGAUCAAUGGCCACACAACCCCCAUUUUGCCGAAAAUAGCCAUGAACGACCAUUUUCAAUAAUAUCGAAGGCUAACACGUACGAGUUUUUAACCAAGAAAUGGUCUCCACCAGAAAUCCAAGAAUGUGAUCUAUGGCAAGGAAACAUAUGUGGGGUGAGGUGUAUGAGCCUCUGGUCGACGAUCAAUGGCCACACAACCCUAAUUUUUGUCGAAAAUAGCCAUGAACGACCAUUUUCAAAAAUACCAAAGGCUAACACGUACGGAUUUUUGACCAAGAAAUGGUCUCCACCAGAAAUCCAAGAAUGUGAUCUAUGGCAAGGAAACAUAUGUGUAGUGAGGUGUACGAGCCUCUGGUCGAUGAUCAAUGGCCACACAACCCCCAUUUUGCCGAAAAUAGCCAUGAGCGACCAUUUUCAAUAAUAUUAGAGGCUAAGACCUACGGAUUUUUGACCAAGAAAUGGUCUCCACCAGAAAUCCAAGAAUGUGAUCUAUGGCAAGGAAACAUAUGUGGGGUGAGGUGUAUGAGCCUCUGGUCGACGAUCAAUGGCCACACAACCCCCAUUUUGCCGAAAAUAGCCAUGAAUGACCAUUUUCAAUAAUACCGAAGGCUAACACGUACGAGUUUUUAACCAAGAAAUGGUCUCCACCAGAAAUCCAAGAAUGUAAUCUAUGGCAAGGAAACAUAUGUGUAGUGAGGUGUAUGAGCCUCUGGUCGAUGAUCAAUGGCCACACAACCCCCAUUUAGCCUUCGAUAUUAUUGAAAAUGGUCGUUCAUGGCUAUUUUCGACAAAAAUGGGGGUUGUGUGGCCAUUGAUCAUCGACCAGACGCUCAUACACCUCACCCCACAUAUGUUUCCUUGCCAUAGAUUACAUUCUUGGAUUUCUGGUGGAGACCAUUUCUUGGUUAAAAACUCGUACGUGUUAGCCUCUAAUAUUAUUGAAAAUGGUCGUUCAUGGCUAUUUUCGACAAAAAUGGGGGUUGUGUGGCCAUUGAUCAUCGACCAGAGGCUCGUACACUUCACCCCACAUAUGUUUUCUUGCCAUAGAUCACAUUCUUGGAUUUCUGGUGGAGACCAUUUCUUGGUUAAAAAUCCGUAGGUCUUAGCCUCUAAUAUUAUUGAAAAUGGUCGCUCAUGGCUAUUUUCAUAAAAAAAUGGGGGUUGCGUGGCCAUUUAUCAUCGACUAGAGGCUCAUAAAUCUCACCCCACAUAUGUUUCCUUGCCAUAGAUCACAUUCUUGGAUUUUUGGUGGAGACCAUUUCUUGGUCAAAAACUCGUACGUGUUAGCCUUCGGUAUUAUUGAAAAUGGUCGUUCAUGGCUAUUUUCGGCAAAAUGGGGGUUGUGUGGCAAUUGAUCAUCGACCAGAGGCUCAUACACCUCACCCCACAUAUGUUUCCUUGCCAUAGAUUACAUUCUUGGAUUUCUGGUGGAGACCAUUUCUUGGUCAAAAAUCCGUAGGUGUUAGCCUUCGAUAUUAUUGAAAAUGGUCGUUCAUGGCUAUUUUCGACAAAAAUGGGGGUUGUGUGGCCAUUGAUCAUCGACCAGAGGCUCAUACACCUCACCCCACAUAUGUUUCCUUGCCAUAGAUCACAUUCUUGGAUUUCUGGUGGAGACCAUUUCUUGGGCAAAAAUCCGAAUGUGUUAGCCUUUGGUAUUUUUGAAAAUGGUCAUUCAUGGCUAUUUUCGACAAAAAUGGGGGUUGUGUGGCCAUUGAUCUUCGACCAGAGGCUCAUACACCUCACUACACAUAUGUUUCCUUGCCAUAGAUCACAUUCUUGGAUUUAUGGUGGAGACCAUUUCUUGGUCAAAAAUCCGUAGGUGUUAGCCUUCAGUGUCAUUGAAAAUGGUCGUUCAUGGCUAUUUUCGACAAAAAUAGGGUUGUGUGGCCAUUGAUCGUCGACCAGAGGCUCAUACACCUCACCCCACAUAUGUUUCCUUGCCAUAGAUCACAUUCUUGGAUUUCUGGUGAGACCAUUUCUUGGUCAAAAUCAACAUAUGUUUUGCCAUAGAUUAUUCUUGGAUUUCUAGUGGAGACCAUUUCUUGGUUAAAAACUCGUACGUGUUAGCCUUCGGUAUUAUUGAAAAUGGUCAUUCAUGGCUAUUUUCGGCAAAAUGGGGGUUGUGUGGCCAUCGAUCGUCGACCAGAGGCUCAUACACCUCACCCCACAUAUGUUUCCUUGCCAUAGAUCACAUUCUUGGAUUUCUGGUGGAGACCAUUUCUUGGUCAAAACCUCACCCCACAUAUGUUUCCUUGCCAUAGAUUACAUUCUUGGAUUUCUGGUGGAGACCAUUUCUUGGUUAAAAACUCGUACGUGUUAGCCUUCGGUAUUAUUGAAAAUGGUCAUUCAUGGCUAUUUUCGGCAAAAUGGGGGUUGUGUGGCCAUUGAUCGUCGACCAGAGGCUCAUACACCUCACCCCACAUAUGUUUCCUUGCCAUAGAUCACAUUCUUGGAUUUCUGGUGGAGACCAUUUCUUGGUCAAAAAUCCGUAGGUGUUAGCCUUCGAUAUUAUUGAAAAUGGUCGUUCAUGGCUAUUUUCGACAAAAAUGGGGGUUGUGUGGCCAUUGAUCAUCGACCAGAGGCUCAUACACCUCACCCCACAUAUGUUUCCUUGCCAUAGAUCACAUUCUUGGAUUUCUAGUGGAGACCAUUUCUUGGUCAAAAAUCCGUAGGUGUUAGCCUUCGGUAUUAUUGUAAAUGGUCAUUCAUGGCUAUUUUCGACAAAAAUGGGGGUUGUGUGGCCAUUGAUCAUCGACCAGAGGCUCAUACACCUCACCCCACAUAUGUUUCCUUGCCAUAGAUCACAUUCUUGGAUUUCUGGUGGAGACCAUUUCUUGGUCAAAAAUCCGUAGGUCUUAGCCUCUAGUAUUAUUGAAAAUGGUCGCUCAUGGCUAUUUUCAUAAAAAAGGGGGUUGUGUGGCCAUUGAUCAUCGACUAGAGGCUCAUACACCUCACCCCACAUAUGUUUCCUUGCCGUAGAUCACAUUCUUGGAUUUCUGGUGGAGACCAUUUCUUGGUCAAAAAUCCGUAGGUGUUAGCCUUCGGUAUUAUUGAAAAUGGUCGUUCAUGGCUAUUUUCGGCAAAAUGGGGGUUGUGUGGCCAUUGAUCAUCGACCAGAGGCUCAUACACCUCACCCCACAUAUGUUUCCUUGCCAUAGAUCACAUUCUUGGAUUUCUGGUGGAGACCAUUUCUUGGUCAAAAAUCCGUAGGUCUUAGCCUCUAAUAUUAUUGAAAAUGGUCGCUCAUGGCUAUUUUCAUAAAAAAUGGGGGUUGUGUGGCCAUUUAUCAUCGACUAGAGGCUCAUAAAUCUCACCCCACAUAUGUUUCCUUGCCAUAGAUCACAUUCUUGGAUUUUUGGUGGAGACCAUUUCUUGGUCAAAAACUCGUACGUGUUAGCCUUCGGUAUUAUUGAAAAUGGUCGUUCAUGGCUAUUUUCGGCAAAAUGGGGGUUGUGUGGCAAUUGAUCAUCGACUAGAGGCUCAUACACCUCACCCCACAUAUGUUUCCUUGCCAUAGAUUACAUUCUUGGAUUUCUGGUGGAGACCAUUUCUUGGUCAAAAAUCCGUAGGUGUUAGCCUUCGAUAUUAUUGAAAAUGGUCGUUCAUGGCUAUUUUCGACAAAAAUGGGGGUUGUGUGGCCAUUGAUCAUCGACCAGAGGCUCAUACACCUCACCCCACAUAUGUUUCCUUGCCAUAGAUCACAUUCUUGGAUUUCUGGUGGAGACCAUUUCUUGGGCAAAAAUCCGAAUGUGUUAGCCUUUGGUAUUUUUGAAAAUGGUCAUUCAUGGCUAUUUUCGACAAAAAUGGGGGUUGUGUGGCCAUUGAUCUUCGACCAGAGGCUCAUACACCUCACUACACAUAUGUUUCCUUGCCAUAGAUCACAUUCUUGGAUUUAUGGUGGAGACCAUUUCUUGGUGAAAAAUCCGUAGGUGUUAGCCUUCAGUGUCAUUGAAAAUGGUCGUUCAUGGCUAUUUUCGACAAAAAUUAGGGUUGUGUGGCCAUUGAUCGUCGACCAGAGGCUCAUACACCUCACCCCACAUAUGUUUCCUUGCCAUAGAUCACAUUCUUGGAUUUCUGGUGGAGACCAUUUCUUGGUCAAAACCUCACCCCACAUAUGUUUCCUUGCCAUAGAUUACAUUCUUGGAUUUCUGGUGGAGACCAUUUCUUGGUUAAAAACUCGUACGUGUUAGCCUUCGGUAUUAUUGAAAAUGGUCAUUCAUGGCUAUUUUCGGCAAAAUGGGGGUUCUGUGGCCAUUGAUCGUCGACCAGAGGCUCAUACCUCACCCAUAUUUUUAUAAUAAUUUGGAUUCUGGGCUUUUUGUCUAAAAUCGUAUGUUAGCCUUCGAUCCAGACGCUCAUACACCUCACCCCACAUAUGUUUCCUUGUCGUAGAUCACAUUCUUGGAUUUCUGGUGGAGACCAUUUCUUGGUCAAAAAUCCGUAGGUGUUAGCCUUCGAUAUUAUUGAAAAUGGUCGUUCAUGGCUAUUUUCGACAAAAAUGGGGGUUGUGUGGCCAUUGAUCAUCGACCAGAGGCUCAUAAACCUCACCCCACAUAUGUUUCCUUGCCAUAGAUCACAUUCUUGGAUUUCUGGUGGAGAUCAUUUCUUGGUUAAAAACUCGUACGUGUUAGCCUUCGGUAUUAUUGAAAAUGGUCGCUCAUGGCUAUUUUCAUAAAAAAAUGGGGGUUGUGUGGCCAUUGAUCAUCGACCAGAUGCUCAUACACCUCACCCCACAUAUGUUUCCUUGCCAUAGAUCACAUUCUUGGAUUUCUGGUGGAGACCAUUUCUUGGUCUAAAAUCCGUACGUGUUAGCCUUCGGUAUUAUUGAAAAUGGUCAUUCAUGGCUAUUUUCGACAAAAAUUAGGGUUGUGUGGCCAUUGAUCGUCGACCAGAGGCUCAUACACCUCACCCCACAUAUGUUUCCUUGCCAUAGAUCACAUUCUUGGAUUUCUGGUGGAGACCAUUUCUUGGUUAAAAACUCGUACGUGUUAGCCUUCGGUAUUAUUGAAAAUGGUCGUUCAUGGCUAUUUUCAGCAAAAUGGGGGUUGUGUGGCCAUUUAUCAUCGACCAAAGGCUCAUACACCUCACCCCACAUAUGUUUCCUUGCCAUAGAUCACAUUCUUGGAUUUCUGGUGGAGACCAUUUCUUGGUCAAAAAUUCGUAGGUGUUAGCCUUCGGUAUUAUUGAAAAUGGUCAUUCAUGGCUAUUUUCGGCAAAAUGGGGGUUGUGUGGCCAUUGAUCGUCGACCAGAGGCUCAUACACCUCUAGUGGAGACCAAUUCUUGGUCAAAAAUCUGUAGGUGUUAGCCUUUGGUAUUAUUGAAAAUGGUCGUUCAUGGCUAUUUUCAUAAAAAAUGGGGGUUGUGUGGCCAUUUAUCAUCGACUAGAGGCUCGUACACCUCACCCCACAUAUGUUUCCUUGCCAUAGAUCACAUUCUUGGAUUUCUGGUGGAGACCAUUUCUUGGGCAAAAAUCCGUAGGUCUUAGCCUCUAGUAUUAUUGAAAAUGGUCGCUCAUGGCUAUUUUCGGCAAAAAUGGGGGUUGUGUGGCCAUUGAUCAUCGACCAGACGCUCAUACACCUCACCCCACAUAUGUUUCCUUGCCAUAGAAUGACCAUUUACAAUAAUACCGAAGGCUAACACCUACGGAUUUUUGACCAAGAAAUGGUCUCCACCAGAAAUCCAAGAAUGUGAUCUAUGGCAAGGAAACAUAUGUGGGGUGAGGUGUAUGAGCCUCUGGUGGAAGAUCAAUGGCCACACAACCCCCAUUUUUGUCAAAAAUAGCCAUGAAUGACCAUUUUCAAUAAUAUCGAAGGCUAACACCUACGGAUUUUUGACCAAGAAAUGGUCUCCACCAGAAAUCCAAGAAUGUGAUCUAUGGCAAGGAAACAUAUGUGGGGUGAGGUGUAUGAGUGUCUGGUCGAUGAUCAAUGGCCACACAACCCCCAUUUUUGUCGAAAAUAGCCAUGAACGACCAUUUUCAAUAAUACCGAAGGCUAACACCUACGAAUUUUUGACCAACAAAUGGUCUCCACGAGAAAUCCAAGAUUCUGAUCUAUGGCAAGAAAACAUAUGUGGGGUGAAGUGUACGAGCCUCUGGUCGAUGAUCAAUGGCCACACAACCCCCAUUUUUGUCGAAAAUAGCCAUGAACGACCAUUUUCAAUAAUACCGAAGGCUAACACGUACGGAUUUUUGACCAAGAAAUGGUCUCCACCAGAAAUCCAAGAAUGUGAUCUAUGGCAAGGAAACAUAUGUGGGGUGAGGUGUAUGAGCCUCUGGUCGAUGAUCAAUGGCCACACAACCCCCAUUUUUGUCGAAAAUAGCCAUGAACGACCAUUUUCAAUAAUAUCGAAGGCUAACACCUACGGAUUUUUGACCAAGAAAUGGUCUCCACCAGAAAUCCAAGAAUGUGAUCUACGACAAGGAAACAUAUGUGGGGUGAGGUGUAUGAGCCUCUGGUCGACGAUCAAUGGCCACACAACCCCCAUUUUGCCGAAAAUAGCCAUGAAUGACCAUUUUCAAUAAUACCGAAGGCUAACACGUACGAGUUUUUAACCAAGAAAUGGUUUCCACCAGAAAUCCAAGAAUGUAAUCUAUGGCAAGGAAACAUAUGUGGGGUGAGGUUUAUGAGCCUCUAGUCGAUGAUAAAUGGCCACACAACCCCAUUUUUUAUGAAAAUAGCCAUGAGCGACCUUGAAAAUAGCCAUGAGCGACCAUUUUCAAUAAUACUAGAGGCUAACACCUACGGAUUUUAGACCAAGAAAUGGUCUCCACCAGAAAUCCAAGAAUGUGAUCUAUGGCAAGGAAACAUAUGUGGGGUGAGGUGUAUGAGCGUCUGGUCGAUGAUCAAUGGCCACACAACCCCCAUUUUUGUCGAAAAUAGCCAUGAACGACCAUUUUCAAUAAUACCGAAGGCUAACACCUACGGAUUUUUGACCAAGAAAUGGUCUCCACCAGAAAUCCAAGGAUGUGAUCUACGACAAGGAAACAUAUGUGGGGUGAGGUGUAUGAGCCUCUGGUCGAUGAUCAAUGGCCACACAACCCCCAUUUUUGUCGAAAAUAGCCAUGAACGACCAUUUUCAAUAAUACCGAAGGCUAACACCUACGGAUUUUUGACCAAGAAAUGGUCUCCACCAGAAAUCCAAGAAUGUGAUCUAUGGCAAGGAAACAUAUGUGGGGUGAGGUGUACGAGCAUCUGGUCGAUGAUCAAUGGCCACACAACCCCCAUUUUUGUCAAAAAUUGCCAUGAACGACUAUUUUCAAUAAUACCGAAGGCUAACACCUACGGAUUUCUGACCAAGAAAUCGUCUCCACCAGAAAUCCAAAAAUGUGAUAUAUGGCAAGGAAACAUAUGUGGGGUGAGGUGUACGAGACUCUGGUCGAUGAUCAAUGGCCACACAACCCCCAUUUUUGUCGAAAAUAGCCAUGAACGACAUUUUCAAUAAUACCAAAUGCUAACACCUACAGAUUUUUGACCAAAAAUGGUCUCCACCAGAAAUCCAAGAAUGUGAUCUAUGGCAAGGAAACAUAUGUGGGGUGAGGUGUACGAGCCUCUGGUCGAUGAUCAAUGGCCACACAACCCCCAUUUUGCCGAAAAUAGCCAUGAAUGACCAUUUUCAAUAAUACCGAAGGCUAACACGUACGAGUUUUUAACCAAGAAAUGGUCUCCACCAGAAAUCCAAGAAUGUGAUCUAUGGCAAGGAAACAUAUGUGGGGUGAGGUGUAUGAGCCUCUGGUCGAUGAUCAAUGGCCACACAACCCCCAUUUUUGUCGAAAAUAGCCAUGAACGACCAUUUUCAAUAAUAUCGAAGGCUAACACCUACGGAUUUUUGACCAAGAAAUGGUCUCCACCAGAAAUCCAAGAAUGUGAUCUACGACAAGGAAACAUAUGUGGGGUGAGGUGUAUGAGCCUCUGGUCGACGAUCAAUGGCCACACAACCCCCAUUUUUGUCGAAAAUAGCCAUGAAUGACCAUUUUCAAUAAUACGAAGGCUAACACCUACGGAUUUUUGACCAAGAAUUGGUCUCCACCAGAAAUCCAAGAAUGUGAUCUAUGGCAAGGAAACAUAUGUGGGGUGAGGUGUAUGAGCCUCUGGUCAACGAUCAAUGGCCACACAACCCCCAUUUUGCCGAAAAUAGCCAUGAAUGACCAUUUUCAAUAAUACCGAAGGCUAACACGUACGAGUUUUUAACCAAGAAAUGGUCUCCACCAGAAAUCCAAGAAUGUGAUCUAUGGCAAGGAAACAUAUGUGGGGUGAGGUGUAUGAGCCUCUGGUCGAUGAUCAAUGGCCACACAACCCCCAUUUUUGUCGAAAAUAGCCAUGAACGACCAUUUUCAAUAAUAUCGAAGGCUAACACCUACGGAUUUUUGACCAAGAAAUGGUCUCCACCAGAAAUCCAAGAAUGUGAUCUAUGGCAAGGAAACAUAUGUGGGGUGAGGUGUAUGAGCCUCUGGUCGACGAUCAAAUGGCCACACAACCCCCAUUUUUAUGAAAAUAGCCAUGAGCGACCAUUUUCAAUAAUACUAGAGGCUAAGACCUACGGAUUUUUGACCAAGAAAUGGUCUCCACCAGAAAUCCAAGAAUGUGAUCUAUGGCAAGGAAACAUAUGUGGGGUGAGGUGUAUGAGCCUCUGGUCGAUGAUCAAUGGCCACACAACCCCAUUUUGUCGAAAAUAGCCAUGAAUGACCAUUUACAAUAAUACCGAAGGCUAACACCUACGGAUUUUUGACCAAGAAAUGGUCUCCACCAGAAAUCCAAGAAUGUGAUCUACGACAAGGAAACAUAUU
rnacentral:lncRNA from 1 species